GUUUUUCAUUAAAUACAAAAGGGCAUUUUACACUAGCUAUGGAGUAUAUUUCAGUUGUGGAAUAUGACUCUACCAGUGAAACGACUUGUAAUGUUAAGGGAUUACCUGCAACAGUGCAAAGUAAUCUGGAAAACUAUUUCAAAGCUCAUAAUGUUAUCUGUAAUAAUCAAAAAAAUUGUUUUGAAGUCGACGUAGAAGGAAUAAGGGUUUUAAAUGUAUUAUGUGAAUCUGGUUUUAAUUACAGGGUUGUCACACAAUCCAUGGCAAUCGACACAACGAAUAUAGGUGGAAGAUCGGUGAAAAUUCAAAAAAUUGUUUGGACAUUAGCAAAAGCUCUCUAAAUGAAGAUUUAUUUCCAAAAAUAUAAUAAAAUAGCUUUAUAUAUUAUAAUAACAUUAAUUUGCAUUUUCAAUUGUUAAUUCGCUCUGGCAAUCACUGGGAACUCUAUCCGUAAAUAAUUCUGGAAUCUGAAAAUGCAAUUAUUUUUCAAUUAAUUAUUAUAUCAGUAGUUACAACAAUAAAUGUUAAAACAUAA